UCAGUUCUCCUGGAAAAGGCUGUUACCUGGUUCAAGUAAUCCAGGAUAGGCUGUAUGCAUUGCAGUUGGCCUAUUCUUGAUUACUUGCACUGGGAGACAGCCACAACAAAGAGGACCAGAC
rnacentral:precursor_RNA from 14 species